UACGUAGGGGGCAAGCGUUGUCCGGAAUCAUUGGGCGUAAAGAGCGUGUAGGCGGCCCGAUAAGUCCGCUGUGAAAGUCCAGGGCUCAACCCUGGGAUGCCGGUGGAUACUGUCGGACUAGAGUACGGAAGAGGCGAGUGGAAUUCCCGGUGUAGCGGUGAAAGUGCGCAGAUAUCGGGAGGAACACCAAUUGCGAAGGCAGCUCGCUGGGACGUUACUGACGCUGAGACGCGAAAGCGUGGGGAGCAAACAGG
rnacentral:rRNA from 1 species